UAUUCAUUCUUCAAGAUUUAGCUAAUGUGCUUCUUCCUCUGAGAUGGAGUUUUGCUCUGUCGCCCAGGCUGGAGUACAAUGGUUCCAUCUCUGCUCGCCUCGACCUCUGCUUCCUGGGUUCAAGCAAUUCUCCUGCCUCAGCCUCCCAAGUAGCUGGGAUUACAGACUAUGCAUGGAAAACAGAGUCCUGUGUUGCCAACAUUGGGAAAAUGUUCCUUCCGAGGUGCUCUGCAAGCCUUCUGUUUACCACGAACUUGCUUAAACACAUUCAAAAUUUCAUACUCAAGAUUUUUCUCAAAGCAGAGAAAAUCUGUUAGUAGCAGAAUUAGAAUUGUCAUGAAUGAUAUGUUGUUAUUAUAGUGUACAAUAUGAAGAUUUUUUCUUCUGAAAAUACCAUGUAAUACUUACCA
rnacentral:lncRNA from 1 species